rnacentral:rRNA from 1 species
UUGUGAGCUCGAUGAGUAGGGCGGGACACGUGGUAUCCUGUCUGAAUAUGGGGGGACCAUCCUCCAAGGCUAAAUACUCCUGACUGACCGAUAGUGAACCAGUACCGUGAGGGAAAGGCGAAAAGAACCCCGGCGAGGGGAGUGAAAAAGAACCUGAAACCGUGUACGUACAAGCAGUGGGAGCCUCUUAAUGGGGUGACUGCGUACCUUUUGUAUAAUGGGUCAGCGACUUAUAUUCUGUAGCAAGGUUAACCGAAUAGGGGAGCCGAAGGGAAACCGAGUCUUAACUGGGCGUUAAGUUGCAGGGUAUAGACCCGAAACCCGGUGAUCUAGCCAUGGGCAGGUUGAAGGUUGGGUAACACUAACUGGAGGACCGAACCGACUAAUGUUGAAAAAUUAGCGGAUGACUUGUGGCUGGGGGUGAAAGGCCAAUCAAACCGGGAGAUAGCUGGUUCUCCCCGAAAGCUAUUUAGGUAGCGCCUCGUGAAUUCAUCUCCGGGGGUAGAGCACUGUUUCGGCAAGGGGGUCAUCCCGACUUACCAACCCGAUGCAAACUGCGAAUACCGGAGAAUGUUAUCACGGGAGACACACGGCGGGUGCUAACGUCCGUCGUGAAGAGGGAAACAACCCAGACCGCCAGCUAAGGUCCCAAAGUCAUGGUUAAGUGGGAAACGAUGUGGGAAGGCCCAGACAGCCAGGAUGUUGGCUUAGAAGCAGCCAUCAUUUAAAGAAAGCGUAAUAGCUCACUGGUCGAGUCGGCCUGCGCGGAAGAUGUAACGGGGCUAAACCAUGCACCGAAGCUGCGGCAGCGACACUAUGUGUUGUUGGGUAGGGGAGCGUUCUGUAAGCCUGUGAAGGUAGCCUGUGAGGGUUG